rnacentral:rRNA from 1 species
AGAAUCAACGCUGGCGGCGUGCCUAACACAUGCAAGUCGAACGAGAAAGUGGGAGCAAUCCCACGAGUAAAGUGGCGCACGGGUGAGUAACACGUGACUAACCUACCCUUGAGUGGGGGAUAACCUAGGGAAACCUGGGCUAAUACCGCAUAAUACCUACGGGUCAAAGGAGCAAUUCGCUUUAGGAGGGGGUCGCGGCAGAUUAGUUAGUUGGCGGGGUAAUGGCCCACCAAGACAGUGAUCUGUAUCCGGCCUGAGAGGGCGCACGGACACACUGGAACUGAAACACGGUCCAGACUCCUACGGGAGGCAGCAGUGGGGAAUUUUGCGCAAUGGGGGAAACCCUGACGCAGCAACGCCGCGUGGAGGAUGAAGCCCUUGGGGCGUAAACUCCUUUCGAUCGGGAAGAUAAUGACGGUACCGGAAGAAGAAGCCCGGCUAACUUCGCGCCAGCAGCCGC